UUAAAGGAAUUGACGGGGACCCGCACAAGCAGCGGAGCGUGUGGUUUAAUUCGAUGCUACACGAAGAACCUUACCAGGGUUUGACAUACAAGUAGUAGGGAAAGGAAACUGGACCGACCCUUCGGGGAGCUUGUACAGGUGCUGCAUGGCUGUCGUCAGCUCGUGUCGUGAGAUGUUCGGUUAAGUCCGCUAACGAGCGCAACCCUCGCUGUGUGUUACAAGUGUCACACGGAACUGCCGGUCAUAAACCGGAGGAAGGUGGGAUGACGUCAAGUCAGCAUGGCCUUUAUAUCCUGGGCUACACACGCGCUACAAUGGGAAGGGACAAUAGGUUGCGAAGCCGCGAGGCGGAGCCAAUCCAGCAAAACUUCCCUCAGUUCAGAUUGCAGGCUGCAACUCGCCUGCAUGAAGUUGGAGUUGCUAGUAAACGCAGGUCAGCCAUACUGCGUUGAAUACGUUCCCGGGGCUU
rnacentral:rRNA from 1 species